GCUGAUAAAGUCCAAACACUCACUGGCAAUUUCUCCUUCAUUCUCCUUACCCUUCUCAUGGCCAUGUCCUUUGGCUCACCACCACCACCACUAACCUUAAACCUAAAUCUUUUCCUCCACCUGCAUCUGCCCUCCUCCUUUAAACACCACAAUCAUCAUCUCCCUCUACCUCUGGUCCUCUUCUUCGAAAUCACCUUUAAACACCCCGUUUAUGCUAUACUACCAGCCAACACUAUAAACCGUUAUUGAACACCGUAACUUCUGGCCUACCACCACCUAUUUUCCCUCUCCACCAUAUUGUAAAUCUUCUUUUACCUGCAAACUCCUCACAAUAACUUCAAAAAAAAUGCUACUAUCUCUUAUACACUCACUAAACUCUCCAUUAAACUACUCCCACCAACAAAUCGCAACAAGUCCGUGAAUCAACAACAACAACUUGCUUUUAACGUCCUUCUUCACCACAUGAAACACCUUACAACAACCGCCCACCGUCAACAACCUUUCUCUCCUCCGUUCAAACCCUUCCUAACUGCGAAUUUAUCUCAUCAUC
rnacentral:lncRNA from 1 species